UACGAAGGGGGCUAGCGUUGUUCGGAAUCACUGGGCGUAAAGCGCACGCAGGCGGAUUGAUAAGUCAGGGGUGAAAUCCCGGAGCUCAACUUCGGAAUUGCCUUUGAUACUGUCUGUCUUCGAGUUCGGGAGAGGUUGGCGGAAUUCCUAGUGUAGAGGUGAAAUUCGUAGAUAUUAGGAAGAACACCAGUGGCGAAGGCGGCCAACUGGCCCGAUACUGACGCUCAUGUGCGAAAGCGUGGGGAGCAAA
rnacentral:rRNA from 1 species